rnacentral:rRNA from 1 species
AGUGAACGCUGGCGGUAGGCCUAACACAUGCAAGUCGAACGGCAGCACAGUAAGAGCUUGCUCUUACGGGUGGCGAGUGGCGGACGGGUGAGGAAUACAUCGGAAUCUACUUUUUCGUGGGGGAUAACGUAGGGAAACUUACGCUAAUACCGCAUACGACCUACGGGUGAAAGCAGGGGAUCUUCGGACCUUGCGCGAUUGAAUGAGCCGAUGUCGGAUUAGCUAGUUGGCGGGGUAAAGGCCCACCAAGGCGACGAUCCGUAGCUGGUCUGAGAGGAUGAUCAGCCACACUGGAACUGAGGCACGGUCCAGACUCCUACGGGGGGCAGCAGUGGGGAAUAUUGGACAAUGGGCGCAAGCCUGAUCCAGCCAUACCGCGUGGGUGAAGAAGGCCUUCGGGUUGUAAAGCCCUUUUGUUGGGAAAGAAAAGCAGCAGGUUAAUACCCCGCUGUUCUGACGGUACCCAAAGAAUAAGCACCGGCUAACUUCGUG